rnacentral:rRNA from 1 species
UACGUAGGGGGCGAGCGUUGUCCGGAGUUACUGGGCGUAAAGCGCACGCAGGCGGUGCUGCGCGUUUGGGGUUAGCAGCUCCCGGCUCAACCGGGAGAGCGCCUCGAAGACGGCAGCACUUGAGGGCCAGAGAGGGACACGGAACUCCGGGUGGAGUGGUGAAAUGCGUAGAUAUCCGGAAGAACACCAAAGGCGAAGGCAGUGUCCUGGCUGGUACCUGACGCUCAGGUGCGAAAGCUAGGGGAGCGAACGGG